UACGAAGGGUGCAAGCGUUGCUCGGAAUUAUUGGGCGUAAAGGGUUGGUAGGUGGUUGCGUAUGUCUGGGGUGAAAUCCCUGAGCUUAACUCAGGACGUGCCUUGGAAACGGCGUAACUAGAGUACUAGAGAGGUUCGUGGAAUUCUUGGUGUAGCGGUGAAAUGCGUAGAGAUCAAGAGGAACAUCAGCGGCGAAGGCGACGAACUGGAUAGUAACUGACACUGAACAACGAAAGCGUGGGGAGCGAACAGG
rnacentral:rRNA from 1 species